rnacentral:rRNA from 1 species
CCAGACUCCUACGGGAGGCAGCAGUGGGGAAUAUUGCACAAUGGGGGAAACCCUGAUGCAGCGACGCCGCGUGAGUGAAGAAGUAUCUCGGUACGUAAAGCUCUAUCAGCAGGGAAGAAAAUGACGGUACCUGACUAAGAAGCCCCGGCUAACUACGUGCCAGCAGCCGCGGUAAUACGUAGGGGGCAAGCGUUAUCCGGAUUUACUGGGUGUAAAGGGAGCGUAGACGGCAGCACAAGUCUGGAGUGAAAUGGCGGGGGUGAGCGCCGGAACUGCUUUGGAAACUGGGGGGCUAGAGUGGAGGAGAUGUAAGCGGAAUUCGUGGUGUAGCGGUGAAAUGCGUAGAUAUUAGGCGGAACACCGGUGGCGAAGGCGGCUUACUGGA